CACGUAGGCUGUUUGGUAAGUCAGGGGUGAAAUCCCGCGGCUCAACCGCGGAAUUGCCCUUGAUACUGCUGGACUCGAGUCCGGGAGAGGGUGGCGGAAUUCCAGGUGUAGGAGUGAAAUCCGUAGAUAUCUGGAGGAACACCAGUGGCGAAGGCGGCUCACUGGGCCAUUACUGACGCUGAGGCACGAAAGCGUGGGGAGCAAACA
rnacentral:rRNA from 1 species